GUUUUAAUAGUUUAUAAAAAAAUAUUGAGUUUGUAAAUCAAAGAAAAAAUAAUUUUUUUAAAACU
rnacentral:tRNA from 1 species